CGCAAUGGGCGAAAGCCUGAAGGAGCAAUGCCGCGUGCGGGAUGAAGGCCCUCGGGUUGUAAACCGCAAAAGUAAGGCGGAAGGCUUUGUGAAGAGCAAAGUUUGACCAAUCUACAGUAAGGACGGGCUAAGUUCGUGCCAGCAGCCGCGGUAAGACGAACCGUCCAAACGUUAUUCGGAAUUAUUGGGCUUAAAGGGUGCGUAGGCGGUGCUGUAAGUCAGGUGUGAAAUCCCACGGCUCAACCGUGGAACUGCGCUUGAUACUGCAGUGCUUGAGGGAGACAGAGGUGAGCGGAACUGAUGGUGGAGCGGUGAAAUGCGUUGAUAUCAUCAGGAACACCAGUGGCGAAAGCGGCUCACUGGGUCUCUUCUGACGCUGAGGCACGAAAGCUAGGGUAGCGAAAGGGAUUAGAUACCCCU
rnacentral:rRNA from 1 species